UCGUGCUAGACGGGGAACUGGCGGUGCCCUGUACCCGCAAUCCGCCAUAGCGGGGUUGAAUUCCCCCCCGAGGGUUGACUUGUCCGAUACUGCCGGGUUCAAACGGUGUUGAAGACCGGGUCCUGCGCGGCAGGAGCCUUCGAACCCCGUCAGGUCCGGGAGGAAGCAGCGGUAAGGAGUCACUCCUGGGCGCCGUGGGAGCGCCUGGUCGGAGCUGGGUGUUCCCGGUAAGGCGGGUGGAGCGAUUCGACGGGGGGUGCACGA
rnacentral:SRP_RNA from 1 species